GGGGGAUUAGCUCAGUUGGGAGAGCACUACACUGGCAGUGUAGGGGUCAUCGGUUCAAGUCCGUUAUCCUCCACCA
rnacentral:tRNA from 1 species